rnacentral:rRNA from 1 species
CAGUCGCCGCGGUAAUACAGAGGGUGCGAGCGUUAAUCGGAUUUACUGGGCGUAAAGCGUGCGUAGGCGGCUUCUUAAGUCGGAUGUGAAAUCCCUGAGCUUAACUUAGGAAUUGCAUUCGAUACUGGGAAGCUAGAGUAUGGGAGAGGAUGGUAGAAUUCCAGGUGUAGCGGUGAAAUGCGUAGAGAUCUGGAGGAAUACCGAUGGCGAAGGCAGCCAUCUGGCCUAAUACUGACGCUGAGGUACGAAAGCAUGGGGAGCAAACAGGAUUAGAUACCCUCGUAGUCCCUGUCUCUUAUAC